AGCAGCCGCGGUAAUUCCAGCUCCAAUAGCGUAUAUUAAAGUUGUUGCAGUUAAAAGCUCGUAGUUGAAUUUCGGGAUCAAUAUUUCGGUCAUGCCGUUGGUAUGCACUGUUAUCAUUGAUUUCUCACCUUCUAAAGAACCGUAAUGCCAUUAAUUUGGUGUUACGGGGAAUUAGGACUGUUACCUUGAAAAAACUUAGAGUGUUAAAGCAGGCUCACGCUUGAAUACAUUAGCAUGGAAUAAUGAAAUAGGACGUUCGAUCCUAUUUUGUUGGUUUCUAGGAUUGACGUAAUGAUUAAUAGGGAUAGUUGGGGGCAUUAGUAUUCAAUUGUCAGAGGUGAAAUUCUUGGAUUUAUUGAAGACUAACUACUGCGAAAGCAUUUUGCCAAGGAUGUUUUCAUUAAUCAAGAACGAAGUUAGGGGAUCGAAGACGAUCAGAUACCGUCGUAGUCUUAACCAUAAAACUAUGCCGACUAGGGAUCGGAUGAUGUUUAAUUUUUUUAAUGACUCAUUUCGGCGC
rnacentral:rRNA from 1 species